CGUAAUUCCAGCUCCAAUAGCGUAUAUUAAAGUUGUUGCAGUUAAAAAGCUCGUAGUUGAACCUUGGGUCUGGCUGGCCGGUCCGCCUCACCGCGAGUACUGGUCCGGCUGGACCUUUCCUUCUGGGGAAUCCCAUGGCCUUCACUGGCUGUGGGGGGAACCAGGACUUUUACUGUGAAAAAAUUAGAGUGUUCAAAGCAGGCCUUUGCUCGAAUACAUUAGCAUGGAAUAAUAGAAUAGGACGUGCGGUUCUAUUUUGUUGGUUUCUAGGACCGCCGUAAUGAUUAAUAGGGAUAGUCGGGGGCGUCAGUAUUCAGCUGUCAGAGGUGAAAUUCUUGGAUUUGCUGAAGACUAACUACUGCGAAAGCAUUCGCCAAGGAUGUUUUCAUUAAUCAGGGAACGAAAGUUAGGGGAUCGAAGACGAUCAGAUACCGUCGUAGUCUUAACCAUAAACUAUGCCGACUAGGGAUCGGGCGGUGUUUCUAUGAUGACCCGCUCGGCACCUUACGAGAAAUCAAAGUUUUUGGGUUCUGGGGGGAGUAUGGUC
rnacentral:rRNA from 1 species